rnacentral:lncRNA from 1 species
AUUGGCUGGUGUAUGUAUAAGAAAAAUGUAGAAAUCACAUAGAAUGCAAACUUACUCUACCUUCAAAACCAUAAGAAAUGUUGACCACAGCAUGAAUUGAUCUCAACAGCAUUGUAUAAUUCUGGUAUCCCCAAAAUAUUGGAACCAGGCCUCACAAAAGGAGUGCUCUGUGUUUGUGAAGCAGGGUUUCUGCACUGACAGAAAACCCCCAAAAAUAUCUUGGAGGAGACUGGACAUGAGCAAAACUCUUCAGAUACUCCUCUC